rnacentral:rRNA from 1 species
GAUGAACGCUGGCGGCGUGCCUAAUACAUGCAAGUCGAGCGAACAGACGAGGAGCUUGCUCCUCUGACGUUAGCGGCGGACGGGUGAGUAACACGUGGAUAACCUACCUAUAAGACUGGGAUAACUUCGGGAAACCGGAGCUAAUACCGUAUAACAUGUUGAACCGCAUGGUUCAACAGUGAAAGACGGUCUUGCUGUCACUUAUAGAUGGAUCCGCGCCGCAUUAGCUAGUUGGUAAGGUAACGGCUUACCAAGGCAACGAUGCGUAGCCGACCUGAGAGGGUGAUCGGCCACACUGGAACUGAGACACGGUCCAGACUCCUACGGGAGGUAGCAGUAGGGAAUCUUCCGCAAUGGGCGAAAGCCUGACGGAGCAACGCCGCGUGAGUGAAGAAGGUCUUCGGAUCGUAAAACUCUGUUAUUAGGGAAGAACAAAUGUGUAAGUAACUAUGCACGUCUUGACGGUACCUAAUCAGAAAGCCACGGCUAACUACGUG